CUCACACCCAUCAACGCCCGGGUACUACGAGCCCCAGCUUAAAACCCAAAGGACUUGACGGUGUCCCAUCCACCUAGAGGAGCCUGUUCUAUAAUCGAUAAUCCCCGCUAAACCCAACCUCCUCUUGCAAUCAGCCUGUAUACCUCCGUCGUAAGCUUACCAUAUGAAUGACCCCAGUAAGCUAAAUGAUCAUAACACCCCAAUACGUCAGGUCAAGGUGCAGCUCAUGAGAAGGCAAGCAAUGGGCUACAAUUUCUAAUCUAGAACAAACGAAACACUGCAUGAAACUCAGCUGUGAAGGCGGAUUUAGUAGUAAAAAGAAAAUAGCGUGUUCUUUUUAACUAGGCCCUGGGACGUGUACACACCGCCCGUC
rnacentral:rRNA from 1 species